AUGGCCUGGUGGUAGAGUCGCUGCCCGGCAAGCAGUAGAUUGCAGGUUCAAAUCCUGCU
rnacentral:tRNA from 1 species